rnacentral:rRNA from 1 species
GCAACGAUGCCACUAGCGAUCCGCCGGUGGUAAUUACGCCCCGGCGGGGAGCUUCCCGGAAACGAAAGUCUUCCGGUUCCGGGGGAAGUAUGGUUGCAAAGCUGAAACUUAAAGGAAUUGACGGAAGGGCACCACCAGGAGUGGAGCCUGCGGCUUAAUUUGACUCAACACGGGAAAACUCACCCGGCCCGGACACCGUAAGGAUUGACAGAUUGAAAGCUCUUUCUCGAUUUGGUGGUUGGUGGUGCAUGGCCGUUCUUAGUUGGUGGAGCGAUUUGUCUGGUUUAUUCCGAUAACGAGCGAGACUCUAGCCUGCUAAAUAGUGUCCAGAUAUAUAGGUCUGGCUUACUUCUUAGAGGGAUAAGCGGUGUUUAGCCGCACGAGAUUGAGCGAUAACAGGUCUGUGAUGCCCUUAGAUGUUCGGGGCUGCACGCGCGCUACACUGGAAGAAUCAGCUGGUCCUUCCAUUGCCGAAAGGUAUUGGUAAACCGUUGAAACUCUUCCGUGACCGGGAUAGGGAAUUGUAAUUAUUUCCCUUGAACGAGGAAUUCCUAGUAAGUGUGAGUCAUCAGCUCACGUUGAUUACGUCCCUGCCCUUUGUACACACCGCCCGUCGCUGUCCGGGACUGAGCUGUUUCGAGAAGAGUGGAGACUGCUGUAUUGGGGCUUUCGGGCUCUGGUAUGAUGGAAACCAUUUUAAUCGCAAUGGCUUGAACCGGGCAAAAGUCGUAACAAGGUAUCUGUAGGUGAACCUGCGGAAGGAUCA